rnacentral:rRNA from 1 species
GUAGUCCUUACUAUAAACUAUGUAUACUUGGUGUAACUGGACUCAACCCUAGUUGUGCCGUAGCUAACGCGAUAAGUAUACCGCCUGGGGAGUACGCUCGCAAGGGUGAAACUCAAAAGAAUUGACGGGGACCCGCACAAGCAGUGGAGCAUGUGGUUUAAUUCGAUGCAACGCGAAGAACCUUACCCAGGCUUGACAUGCAGUAGACAGUCCAAGAAAUUGGAUCUUCCUUCGGGACUGCUGCACAGGUGCUGCAUGGCUGUCGUCAGCUCGUGCCGUGAGGUGUUUGGUUAAGUCCAGCAACGAGCGCAACCCUUAUCAUUAGUUGCCAACACGUAAUGGUGGGAACUCUAGUGAGACUGCCUGGGUUAACCAGGA